rnacentral:rRNA from 1 species
AGAGUUUGAUCCUGGCUCAGAAUCAACGCUGGCGGCGUGCCUCAGACAUGCAAGUCGUACGGUUAAAGCUCUCUUCGGAGAGUGUAUAAAGUGGCGUACGGGUGAGUAACACGUAAGUAAUCUACCUUCGAGUGGGGAAUAACUUAAGGAAACUUAAGCUAAUACCGCAUAACGCAGCGGCAUCUAUUGAUGACAGUUGUUAAAGAAUUUAUUCGCUUGGAGAGGAGCUUGCGGCAGAUUAGCUAGUUGGUAAGGUAAUGGCUUACCAAGGCAACGAUCUGUAGCCGACCUGAGAGGGUGGUCGGUCACACUGACACUGAAUAACGGGUCAGACUCCUACGGGAGGCAGCAGUCGGGAAUUUUGGGCAAUGGGCGAAAGCCUGACCCAGCAACGCCGCGUGAAGGAUGAAGUCUUUCGGGAUGUAAACUUCGGAAAUAUAGGAAGAAUAAAUGACGGUACUAUAUCUAAGGUCCGGCUAACUACGUGCCAGCAGCCGCGGUAAUACGUAGGGACCAAGCGUUGUUCGGAUUUACUGGGCGUAAAGGGUGCGUAGGCGGCGUGAUAAGUCACUUGUGAAAUCUCCGAGCUUAACUCGGAACAGCCAAGUGAUACUAUUGUGCUAGAGUGCAGAAAGGGCAACUGGAAUUCUUGGUGUAGCGGUGAAAUGCGUAGAUAUCAAGAGGAACACCUGAGGCGAAGGCGAGUUGCUAGGCUGACACUGACGCUGAAGUACGAAAGCUAGGGGAGCGAACGGGAUUAGAUACCCCGGUAGUCCUAGCCCUAAACGAUGAAUGCUUGGUGUCUGGAGUUUUAAUCCUCCGGGUGCCGUCGCUAACGCUUUUAGCAUUCCGCCU